rnacentral:rRNA from 1 species
AGUGGCGAACGGGUGAGUAACACGUGAGCAACCUGCCCCUGACUCUGGGAUAAGCGCUGGAAACGGCGUCUAAUACUGGAUAUGUGACGUGACCGCAUGGUCUGCGUUUGGAAAGAUUUUUCGGUUGGGGAUGGGCUCGCGGCCUAUCAGCUUGUUGGUGAGGUAAUGGCUCACCAAGGCGUCGACGGGUAGCCGGCCUGAGAGGGUGACCGGCCACACUGGGACUGAGACACGGCCCAGACUCCUACGGGAGGCAGCAGUGGGGAAUAUUGCACAAUGGGCGAAAGCCUGAUGCAGCAACGCCGCGUGAGGGAUGACGGCCUUCGGGUUGUAAACCUCUUUUAGCAGGGAAGAAGCGAAAGUGACGGUACCUGCAGAAAAAGCGCCGGCUAACUACGUGCCAGCAGCCGCGGUAAUACGUAGGGCGCAAGCGUUAUCCGGAAUUAUUGGGCGUAAAGAGCUCGUACGCGGUUUGUCGCGUCUGCUGUGAAAUCCCGAGGC